rnacentral:rRNA from 1 species
AACGAACGUUAGCGGCGCGCUUAACACAUGCAAGUCGUGCGAGAAAGGGAGCAAUCCCCGGUAAAGCGGCGCACGGGUGAGUAACACGUAGGUAACGUGCCCCCAGGUGGUGGAUAACCUUCCGAAAGGAGGGCUAAUACAGCAUAAGACCACGGCUUCGAAAGGAGCUGAGGUCAAAGUCGGCCUCUAUUCAUAAGCUGACGCCAGGGGAUCGGCCUGCGGCCCAUCAGGUAGUUGGUAGGGUAAUGGCCUACCAAGCCUAAGACGGGUAGCUGGUCUGAGAGGAUGAUCAGCCACACUGGAACUGAGACACGGUCCAGACUCCUACGGGAGGCAGCAGUGGGGAAUCUUGCGCAAUGGGCGAAAGCCUGACGCAGCGACGCCGCGUGAGUGAUGAAGGCCUGGUUGUAAG